rnacentral:rRNA from 1 species
UACGUAGGGUGCGAGCGUUGUCCGGAAUUAUUGGGUUUAAAGGGUGCGUAGGCGGCUUAUUAAGUCAGGGGUGAAAGACUGCAGCUCAACUGUAGCAGUGCCUUUGAUACUGAUGAGCUUGAGUACAGAUGAGGCUGGCGGAAUGGGUGGUGUAGCGGUGAAAUGCAUAGAUACCAUCCAGAACACCGAUUGCGAAGGCAGCCGGCUAAACUGUAACUGACGCUGAGGCACGAAAGCGUGGGGAUCGAACAGG